rnacentral:rRNA from 1 species
UAGGGAAUCUUCGGCAAUGGGGGCAACCCUGACCGAGCAACGCCGCGUGAGUGAAGAAGGUUUUCGGAUCGUAAAGCUCUGUUGUAAGUCAAGAACGAGUGUGAGAGUGGAAAGUUCACACUGUGACGGUAGCUUACCAGAAAGGGACGGCUAACUACGUGCCAGCAGCCGCGGUAAUACGUAGGUCCCGAGCGUUGUCCGGAUUUAUUGGGCGUAAAGCGAGCGCAGGCGGUUUGAUAAGUCUGAAGUUAAAGGCUGUGGCUCAACCAUAGUUCGCUUUGGAAACUGUCAAACUUGAGUGCAGAAGGGGAGAGUGGAAUUCCAUGUGUAGCGGUGAAAUGCGUAGAUAUAUGGAGGAACACCGGUGGCGAAAGCGGCUCUCUGGUCUGUAACUGACGCUGAGGCUCGAAAGCGUNGGGAGCGAACAGGAUUAGAUACCCUGGUAGUCCACGCCGUAAACGAUGAGUGCUAGGUGUUGGAUCCUUUCCGGGAUUCAGUGCCGUAGCUAACGCAUUAAGCACUCCGCCUGGGGAGUACGACCGCAAGGUUG